rnacentral:misc_RNA from 1 species
GAUGAAGAACGCAGUGAAAUGCGAUAAUUAAUGUGAAUUGCAGAAUUCCGUGAAUCAUCGAGUCUUUGAACGCACAUUGCGCCUCAUGGCAUUCCGUGAGGCAUGCCCAUCUCAGCGUUAGAAAAUAUUCUCAAAUUUUAGUUUUGUGCUAAAAUUUGGAUCAUGUCAAGGAAGCUAUUACUAUUAUUGUGAUCGCUCUUUGGAAAUUGAUAGGUCUUUGAGUUGCUACUCAUAGAACGUGAUGAAUCUUUCUUCGUUCUAUUGUAAUUCACUCUGGUAGUCCUAAAACUUGUAUGCCUGUGGCAUAUCUUGUAAUUUGACCUGAGAUUGGGUAGGGAUACCCGCUGAACUUAAGCAUAUCAAUAAGCGGAGGA